rnacentral:rRNA from 1 species
AAUGGCAGGUCAGCAUACUGCCGUGAAUACGUUCCCGGGCCCUUGUACACACCGCCCGUCACACCAUGAGAGUUGGAAAUACCCGAAGCCUGUGAGCUAACUGUAAAGAGGCAGCAGUCGAAGGUAGAGCCAAUGAUUGGGGUGAAGUCGUAACAAGGUAUC